CCGAGUUUACAAACUCCCAACCCCCUGUGAACAUACCACUUGUUGCCUCGGCGGAUCAGCCCGCUCCCGGUAAAACGGGACGGCCCGCCAGAGGACCCCUAAACUCUGUUUCUAUAUAUAACUUCUGAGUAAAACCAUAAAUAAAUCA
rnacentral:misc_RNA from 1 species